ACUUCCGGUGGUGCAAUGGUUAGCAUUCACUCUCACAAAGAGUGAGAUCUGUGUUCGAAUCCCGGCUGACGCA